GACAGAGGGUGCAAACGUUGUUCGGAAUUACUGGGCGUAAAGCGCGUGUAGGUGGCGAGGCAAGUCGGGUGUGAAAGCCCUGGGCUCAACCCAGGAAGUGCACUCGAUACUGCCUAGCUAGAGUCCCGGAGAGGUUGGUGGAACUCUCGGUGUAGAGGUGAAAUUCGUAGAUAUCGAGAAGAACACCGGUGGCGAAGGCGGCC
rnacentral:rRNA from 1 species